rnacentral:snoRNA from 1 species
GCCAGCUGAUGAAUUUUAUUCUAAUUCGCAGUUUCCACUGAGAGAAUGUGUAACCCACAUAUUUCAUGGAUGUAUUCUAGCCCUUCCUUAGAUGUCUGAUGGC